GACGAACUUUGGCGGCGUGCUUAACACAUGCAAGUCGAACGGAAAGGCCCUGCUUUUGUGGGGUGCUCGAGUGGCGAACGGGUGAGUAACACGUGAGUAACCUGCCCUUGACUUUGGGAUAACUUCAGGAAACUGGGGCUAAUACCGGAUAGGAGCUCCUGCUGCAUGGUGGGGGUUGGAAAGUUUCGGCGGUUGGGGAUGGACUCGCGGCUUAUCAGCUUGUUGGUGGGGUAGUGGCUUACCAAGGCUUUGACGGGUAGCCGGCCUGAGAGGGUGACCGGCCACAUUGGGACUGAGAUACGGCCCAGACUCCUACGGGAGGCAGCAGUGGGGAAUAUUGCACAAUGGGCGGAAGCCUGAUGCAGCAACGCCGCGUGCGGGAUGACGGCCUUCGGGUUGUAAACCGCUUUCGCCUGUGACGAAGCGUGAGUGACGGUAAUGGGUAAAGAAGCACCGGCUAACUACGUGCCAGCAGCCGCGGUGAUACGUAGGGUGCGAGCGUUGUCCGGAUUUAUUGGGCGUAAAGGGCUCGUAGGUGGUUGAUCGCGUCGGAAGUGUAAUCUUGGGGCUUAACCCUGAGCGUGCUUUCGAUACGGGUUGACUUGAGGAAGGUAGGGGAGAAUGGAAUUCCUGGUGGAGCGGUGGAAUGCGCAGAUAUCAGGAGGAACACCAGUGGCGAAGGCGGUUCUCUGGGCCUUUCCUGACGCUGAGGAGCGAAAGCGUGGGGAGCGAACAGGCUUAGAUACCCUGGUAGUCCACGCUGUAAACGGUGGGUACUAGGUGUGGGGUCCAUUCCACGGGUUCCGUGCCGUAGCUAACGCUUUAAGUACCCCGCCUGGGGAGUACGGCCGCAAGGCUAAAACUCAAAGGAAUUGACGGGGCCCCGCACAAGCGGCGGAGCAUGCGGAUUAAUUCGAUGCAACGCGUAGAACCUUACCUGGGUUUGACAUGGAUCGGGAGUGCUCAGAGAUGGGUGUGCCUCUUUUGGGGUCGGUUCACAGGUGGUGCAUGCCUGUCGUCAGCUCGUGUCGUGAGAUGUUGGGUUAAGUCCCGCAACGAGCGCAACCCUUGUUCACUGUUGCCAGCACGUUAUGGUGGGGACUCAGUGGAGACCGCCGGGGUCAACUCGGAGGAAGGUGGGGAUGACGUCAAGUCAUCAUGCCCCUUAUGUCCAGGGCUUCACGCAUGCUACAAUGGCUGGUACAGAGAGUGGCGAGCCUGUGAGGGUGAGCGAAUCUCGGAAAGCCGGUCUCAGUUCGGAUUGGGGUCUGCAACUCGACCUCAUGAAGUCGGAGUCGCUAGUAAUCGCAGAAAAGCAACGCUGCGGUGAAUACGUUCCCGGGGCU
rnacentral:rRNA from 1 species